CCUGUGUGGACUGAGGCCACCAUGUGCACGGUUUUCAGCUAUGCCUCAUUCGCUUGCUGUGUGAAUCUGGGCUGCAGGGCCUGCUGCUGUGUGCCACAGGCCAGUGCCCUGCAGUGCAAUUGUACCUGAGGACCCAAGGUGGCCAGGGAAGCCCCAGGUGCGACUUGGCAGGGGAAGCAGGGGCUGUGGACGGAUGGAGAGCUGUCAUGUGGAAAGGCAGUGUGUCCCCAGGCCGUGGCCCAGCCUCCAACACCCCCAAGUCCCCUCCAGGCCUCUCCAGACCAGGCCCACCACAUACUGCCUGUGCAACCUCGGAAACCUCCUGGGAACAUCCACCAUAUGCCAGGCAUAGUGUCAGACAGGAGGGGACAGAGAAAAACAAGAUCAACAACCGCCCUGCCCUUGUGGAGCUGGCGUUCUAGUACCGGAGACAAAACAAGGUGCUUCCAAGGAGGAAGCCGUGCUCAUCAGGUAAUCCGCAUAAUCGCUCAGGAGGAGACUUGGCAGCCAGAUGGAGACGCCACCUGGGGUCUUAGGGUCACUCCCACCCCCCAGACCCAGAGCCAGCU
rnacentral:lncRNA from 10 species